AAGAAGGGGCUGUAAACAAUUGUUGCCAAAAGAGGGAAAUAUCUCUUUUGAAAUUCUGCCGAAUAGAGACUCAAAAACUGGGUUGCAGACUAUCAGAUACACUUUCAGUCCUUAUUUCCAUUUCUUCUCUUUUCACUCCAAUCACCUAUUCCCAGUCUCCCUCUCUCUCCCAACCCCUCCUUUCUCAACCCCCACCGCCAGACUCCUCAUCUCCUCCGGCAGCACCGCAAGUAGGAGCUAUGAGAAGAAAGAAAGGAGAACUGAUGGAAAAUGCUCAGAUCUCUCUCUCCCUCAGUUAACCUCAUAUAUGAACUCGUGAUGCCAAAUCCCCAGGAUCUCUCAAACCCAGCAGAAAAUUGAGCCAAGAAGUUUCGAUAUUUCUCAACAAAUUAAACACACUAUAAAAGAAUCCGUAACAGAUCGAAAUCGAACCCACUCACUUCGGUUCUGCUUCUAGAUUUGGUCAAUUUCCUGCUUUUUGGGUACUAGAUUUCCGGUCUCCGAAACUUGUAUAUCAGCUCAUGCAUUACAGACCUGUGAGGAUAUCUGUUUUAGUGUUUGAAUCGGAUGAGUUGGUUCUGCCCCAUAGAUUUGGUGGUAUUGAGGAAUUCAAAUGGACCGGAGAUUUGGUGGUAUUGGUGACAGGAGAUGUAGUGGUAUUGGGAAUUGAAAGGACAAGAAAUUGAGGGACCAAAAAAUAAAUAUGUAACUGUAAAUAAUAUAAUAAAAUUCAAUCAAAUAUAUUAUAUUUGGUACAUACGGAUCUUUUCGGUCAUGAGAUAGUCGUCUACUGUUCAUCUUCUCUCUACUCAGGCUCUCUUCUUCUCUGCAGCUUUUUUCUUCUUUGUUUUUCCUCACCCAUGUGGUGAUGCCUCACUCUCUGUGGUGAUUCCUCAUCCUCUGUGAUGAUUCCUCACCCAAGUGGUGUUUUGUUUUCCUUGUUUUUCUCUUCUUUUGCCUCUGAUUAUUGUCCUCAAUGUUCAAAUCGGUUUUUAGAUCUUAGAUCUGAAUCUCUAAGAUCUAGUCUCAGAUUUGUUCUCAUGGUCAUUUUCAGUUUUUGUUCUGCCUUUGCUCCUCAAGAUGUCCAAACCGUGAACAAAUCUCUUUCUUCUUGUCUACCUUGCCCUGCCAUGGAAGAGUUCGCACUCCUCUUCAACCACCUCUUCAGAUCUCAGGUUUGUUUGCUAAGAUCUAUUUUGGUUUGGUUGUUGUUAUCCUUUUAUGCGAGAUCUUUUCGUAAUCGGUAAAUUGGAGAAUGCAUUGCACCUCUGCCGACCACCCCUGGUUACCAACCGUCGCUCAUGAUUUCCGUCAGAGCUCCGGUGUCGAAUCUGCUAUGGCGGCUACAAGGUGGAGAUGAAGAAGAAGCUUUGAAUACGAUUUGGGUUUUUUUUGGACUGCUUAGGCCUUUUUGUUUUCGGCUGUUUCUUUUUUGUAUUUGGAUUUCUCUAGUCUUGCUUGUUCUGGCAGUUGACUAUGUGAAUCAUGCUUUACAGACUUGUCUGUAUUGGGCUGUGUCCCUUGUACUGUUGUUUGGCUUUGAGCCUUGUUAUUUGAUGCUACCUUUCGACCAAAAA